rnacentral:rRNA from 1 species
UCGUAGUUUGACUUCUGCUCCGGACCGGCGGUCCGCCUUAGCGGCGGCUACUGCCGGGUUCCGAGCUGUGUCCCCGCCGGCGCGCACGGGGUUUUUUAUGCCCUUAACCGGGUGUCCCCCUGUGGCCGGCACGUUUACUUUGAAAAAAUUAGAGUGCUCAGAGCAGGCUGGUCUUUGCUUACAGCCCGAAUGGUCGUGCAUGGAAUGAUGGAACAGGACCUCGGUUCUAUUUUGUCGGUUUUUCGGAACCCGAGGUAAUGAUUAAUAGAAGCAGACGGGGGCAUUCGUACUGCGACGCUAGAGGUGAAAUUCUUAGACCGUCGCAUGACCGACCUACUGCGAAAGCAUCUGCCAAGGAUGUUUUCCAUUGAUCAAGAACGAAAGAUAGAGUUUCGAAGGCGAUCAGAUACCGCCCUAGUUCUAACCUUAAACGAUGCUGACUAGCGAUCCGCCGCCAUUAUUCCCAUGACCCGGCGGGUAGCUUCCGGGAAACCAAAGUCUUUGGAGUUCCCGCCGGAAGUAUGGUUGCAAGCUUCCGGGAAACCAAAGUCUUUGAGUUCCGGGGGAAGUAUGGUUGCAAAAGCUGAAACUUAAAGGAAUUGACGGAAGGGCACCACCAGGAGUGGAGCCUGCGGCUCAAUUUGACCCAACACGGGGAAACUCACCAGGCCAGGACACCGGAAGGAUUGACAGAAUGAAGGCUCUUUCUCGAUUCGGUGGGUGGUGGUGCAUGGCCGUUCUUAGUUGGUGGAGUGAUCUGUCUGGUUAAUUCCGAUAACGAACGAGACUCUAGCCUGCUAAAUAGUCGACGGGUCUCUCGCCCAGCCUUCGCCCUCGGGCGUGGGCUCGGGUUCCCCUAAACCCGGCCGUCGCGCGGGCCUCCGCCGUCGGUUGGUUAGCGCCGCCGGCGGCGCGCCCCGCGGCGCCGGAAACUGGCGUCCGCUUCGCAGUCUUCUUCUUAGAGGGAUAAGCGGCAGCAAAAAAUAUACUAGCCGCACGAGAGUUUGAGCCAUAACACAGGUCUGUGAUGCCCUUAGAUGUUCUGGGCCGCAGCGCGCUACAAUGGAGAGUUCAGCGAGCUGUCCCUGCUCCGAGAGGAGCGGGUAACCUCGUGAAAGCUGUCCUUAAAGGGGAUUGGGGCUUGCAAAUGUUCCCCAUGAACGAGGAAUUCCCAGUAGGCGCAAUUCACCAGAUUGCGCCGAUUUAGUCCCUGCCCUUUGUACACACCGCCCGUCGCUACUACCGAUUGAAUGGUCUAGUGAGGGCACCGGACUGGCGCCCUUGGAGCCGCUACCGCCGCCUCGGCGGCGGCCAGCGCCCUCGGGUCGACGGAAAGGUGUCCAAGCUGGGUCAUUUAGA